rnacentral:rRNA from 1 species
GUGACUGCGUACCUUUUGUAUAAUGGGUCAGCGACUUAUAUUCUGUAGCAAGGUUAACCGUAUAGGGGAGCCGCAGGGAAACCGAGUCUUAACUGGGCGUUAAGUUGCAGGGUAUAGACCCGAAACCCGGUGAUCUAGCCAUGGGCAGGUUGAAGGUUGGGUAACACUAACUGGAGGACCGAACCGACUAAUGUUGAAAAAUUAGCGGAUGACCUGUGGCUGGGGGUGAAAGGCCAAUCAAACCGGGAGAUAGCUGGUUCUCCCCGAAAGCUAUUUAGGUAGCGCCUCGUGAAUUCAUCUCCGGGGGUAGAGCACUGUUUCGGCUAGGGGGCCAUCCCGGCUUACCAACCCGAUGCAAACUGCGAAUACCGGAGAAUGUUAUCACGGGAGACACACGGCGGGUGCUAACGUCCGUCGUGAAGAGGGAAACAACCCAGACCGCCAGCUAAGGUCCCAAAGUCAUGGUUAAGUGGGAAACGAUGUGGGAAGGCCCAGACAGCCAGGAUGUUGGCUUAGAAGCAGCCAUCAUUUAAAGAAAGCGUAAUAGCUCACUGGUCGAGUCGGCCUGCGCGGAAGAUGUAACGGGGCUAAACCAUGCACCGAAGCUGCGGCAGCGACACUAUGUGUUGUUGGGUAGGGGAGCGUUCUGUAAGCCGUUGAAGGUGUGCUGUGAGGCAUGCUGGAGGUAUCAGAAGUGCGAAUGCUGACAUAAGUAACGAUAAAGCGGGUGAAAAGCCCGCUCGCCGGAAGACCAAGGGUUCCUGUCCAACGUUAAUCGGGGCAGGGUGAGUCGACCCCUAAGGCGAGGCCGAAAGGCGUAGUCGAUGGGAAACAGGUUAAUAUUCCUGUACUUGGUGUUACUGCGAAGGGGGGACGGAGAAGGCUAUGUCAGCCGGGCGACGGUUGUCCCGGUUUAAGCAUGUAGGCUGGUUUUCCAGGCAAAUCCGGAAAACCAAGGCUGAGGUGUGAUGACGAGGCACUACGGUGCUGAAGUGAUAAAUGCCCUGCUUCCAGGAAAAGCCUCUAAGCU